rnacentral:lncRNA from 1 species
AGAGAUACAAUCACCAUUAUAUUUUACAUCACAGGGAAUCACUUUACAAGAGUUUCCAACAAUAGAGCAAGGUUUCAAAUUUAGAGAAAACAAUACAAACUGAUAAAGUUAGGGUUUUUAGCAGCGGAAAUCAUACGUGAUGACCUACAGCACGUCGUCAAGACGGAUGUCAUGCUAAGCCCAGGCACGACAUCACUCGAUAUCACCAGUGCUGGCCGAGGACGGAUCCCAUUCCACGGACCAUUCAUCUGGAAGAGCAUAGGGCCAAGGCAAGGGAAGAGUAGGGUCUUCACAGAUAUCACCUGAAAAACAUACAACUAGCAAGGCUGAGUAUACUAAUACUCAGCAAGGCUUACCCGGAAUUGGGUAUACUUUAGCCCAUAACUAGACUUAUGAAGGCUUGUAAAAGUUCUGGGUUUAGUUUCAGCUGAAAAAGCAACUAAGAGUAGAUCCUUAUUUUCAACUUUUAGCUUUCAAGUUCUAUGUGAUUAACCAUUCUAGAUAAGCACUUAUAACUAAGCAAGCAAGGUAGAGCUCUUUAUCUCAUCCAUCAGUAUUGCUUAUCAUAUAGUUGCUCUUCUUACUCUGUGUGAUAAAGGGGAUAAGUAGUCUCAAUCAUCGUGAGAGGCGGACGAUUCUGAAUCGAAUUUAACCUUGCAAGGUAAACCUAACUCACACGCUUGGAACAUCCAAUAUUUGUUCCGAAGCAACCGUUUGCCUUUCAUUCCGACUCGUGGACAGGUCCACCACAAGCGACUGCAGGAACAUACGCACAUCACUCGUGCAGGACAUACGUCUGUAGCGCGACUACAAAACCCGUAUUCCUGGUUGCCCUUGCAACACGUAUUUCCUCAGUCGAACGUAAGUAACCAGAAGAAGCAAUCGAGUGGUGGGAGGUAUGUCCACUCCUCGGGCCGAUUGGCUACUAGGCUUACCGCUUACCCAUAACUCACGGCAUGUGGUUAGUACUUUCAAACGCUUAACCCCGAUCGGCACACACCGCGACCUUAUCAGAUUCAACAACACAGACGGGGUAUCACCUCAACCAUGAUACCGCACAAAACUCCCGUCCGGCAUCCUUAUAGUGAUAACAGAGAUGUAAGCAUUACAACUCCUAUAUCGCGCGAGUGACAGGAAAUCACCCGACUUCUUCCGGCCCUAAUAGCAUAGCAGCUAGUCGGACUCAAGUACUAGUAUCCAUCACAUUGGUUCCUAGGAGAAUGCAACUAGGGUUUCAAGCAAUUCCUAAGAACUUAAUGCAUAGAAUACGUAAAUAGAUAUAGAUUGCAGUAUAAUAAAAAUAGUAGGUUAUGUCCGGGGCUUGCCUUUACUGGUGAGUCUGAAGUUAGGAAUGUUAAUAUCUUCCGAACUUUGGUUCGGGGCUUCAGAUAAUCCUUUGGUGACGUUCCUUUGGUCUUCGGGAACAUCCUCCGUAGACUCCGGGGAGAUCUCGUAGGUACUGUCUGCGGAAGUAGUCGUAUCUACAUGCAAUGCAACAUUCCAUUCAUAGUGUGCACGUAAAACUACCUUACUUCACAAUUCAAUUGCAAUCCAGCAUUCAUACAACAUACUAUUCACAUAUUAACCAAAAAGAUCUGAACUAAACCUAGAUAGAGCUUUAGGGGGACAACUAACUAGAAUCGGCUACUCGUUGAAGAUUACAACAGAGCCGAUUGGAAACAACGAGGGUUUGGCUGAUUGAUGAGUGCGUCGGUUUCCUAGGGGAUCGAUGAAAUCAUCGAUUACCUUGGCAGAAGGAUGACUCCUAAAGUAGUUGUCUUACUGAGAUGUGCUUAGGUGUUAUCUAGGUGACUAAGUGUGGUUGUAUCGACUCGAUUACGUCAGCACAACUAUUGAGUGACGUACAGCCGAUGGGGUAUGGUUAAGGGUAUAGAACCGAUAGAUAUGCAGCCGAUUUCUCAGUUGAUAAAUCGACUGAUAGAAGUGUAUAGAUAAGGGUGGGAAAACUAAGGAUCGAUCGGCUAUAACCGAUAUGGAAAAGUAACUAAAAUCGGCUUGGGUCGGCCGAUGGCAAGAACGCUAAGAUUGUGGGUGCAUCUUCGAUGCAUCGACUACGUGCAGUCGAUGUAGAACAGAACAAAAGAACUGUAUCGGCAGUAGCCGAUACUAGAAAGGUAACAAUCGUAUCAGCUAACCAGCCGAUGGUAGAAGUAUCGACUGACAGCUGUUACAUAGGAACAUCAUAAACUCAAGGAAACGAAUACUUAGCGGCUGAACCAAAAGCUGAUGCUGAGGCAUAACCGUAGAGAUGUUUUGGCUAAGCAGCAGACCUACACAAACUAACAGGGAUCCUUAUACGACAAGGAACUUAAAGAAACGGCAAUCAAGACGAGGACAAUGUCUUGAUGGUAGGGAUAUGAGCUCUAGGGUGAUAGGAUUAACUAACUAUCACACUUCUCCACUUAAAGCAUACACCCUAUAAUUUAUCUUCUAGCUAUAACACAAACAUACAAUAUAAGGCAUAAUAAAACAUUCAUUCUCUAACAUUUGACCUAAACCACACAUUAAAGAUUUUCACUCAAGAUCACAAUAUAAAACUUAUAGGUUUUGACUUAGGGUUUCAAACGAAACUGAUUUUACAUUUUUAUGAACUUCUUAUGAAAAUCUAUGAAAUGUAGAAGUUCAUCGAUUUGAAAUACAGAAAGCUUUGGAAAUUUUACAAGGAACAUCCGAGAAUUUUCUAAAACAUAGCAAUCAAAUCCCUGGUCCGGGAAAACAGAUAACAGGAUGUUAACGACGAUAUCCCGGCAAAGGAAUCGCCGGCAUUAAGAAGAUUCAGAGAAUCAGAGCAAACCUUGGGAUAGCCUUGGUUAUGAAGGAGAACACGCGGAAAGUGAUUUCCCGCGGUGAAUAGGAUUGGCAACGAUAAGAUGAGCUCGAUGAUGACGAGAUCCUGAGGAUGACGAAGAAAUUUGUCGGGGAUGGUUGCCGUGGGUGGAAGAUAACCGAAGGAAUAGUCUCCGUGGUGACUCGUGGUCUUGCUCAGUGAUCGACGAGGAAAAGGAAUUGCUGGGUGUCGUGGACUCCUGGGACGAGAUGACAGAGCCGGAUUGGUUCGCUAUGCCAAAUCCUCCGCGAACCUCAAGGUUUCCUUGCUCACGGCUAAGCCUCCAUUUCUCACACGCGUGUGCCGCUGAGACACGGCCGGCACACUCGCGUAACUUCCUGCAGGACCGCCGCGCUUGAUCUCACCUCCGAUACGCCGCUUCUGCUCUGCUCUGCUCCCGCACCAACGGCGUCUUGCAUCCUUGACGUGUCAUCCAACAACAGAACCCUCGCGUCCUUCAGCACCGUGCGUAUCGGCAUUUCGUCAAACACCUAGGUUGCAUCUUCGAUACGGCCAAACCGCAACUCCUCCGGCGCGCGCGCGUCUGCGCGCUUCAGCUCCUGCGUCGCCUGCGCACUCAUGCGCUUGCGCUACUCCGCCGCCGACUAGACGUCGUCCAAUCCCUGGCACCACCUGCUUCUUUGGGCACCCAAGGAUCUGUUUGAGCCGUUCCCGAGCUGAAACCAUCACCGCAGCACCUUUCCCCUUUCCUCCUUGUGCGCAGUUAUAAUGCCGCUUGCCGGCCUACGCCGUCCACGAGCCUGCGCUCCAGUGCCCGCUUGCUCCUAGCGCCUGCGUAGCAUUGCCUGGAUCCGCUCUGCUCCUCCUGCACCGUGUGCUUGCGCCGUGCCAGCUCUGCUCCUGCGCUCACCCGCUCACACGCACCUCCCGAGCCCCGCGCACCCGCUCGCCCACAUCCAGCGCGCCUCCGCUCGGGCCGCCCCGCGCCAACGCCGCACCACCCGCACGCGCCUGCUCCUGGGCCCACGCCGGGCCGCGCCGCGCGUCCGCCCACGAGCCGGCCGAGCGCCUGCCGCCAUCCGCUCGCUCGGGCGCCGCUCCGUCCGCUGCCGCGUGCCUCCGCUUGGGCCACCUGCCUGCGCCGCUUGGGCGCUUGCGCGCUCCGCGGCCGCCUGUCUGCGCCGCGCGCCUGGCCCAGCGCCGGCCGCUCGUCUCCGCCUGCCGUGGCCCGCCUACCGCACCUCCGCUCGAACCGCCGCUGCGCCCGCUAGCUGGGCCGCGCGGCCGCGCGCUCCGCCCGCGUGGGCUCGCGCGCUCCUGGAGCCCAGCCGUGGCUUGCCGCCGCUGCGCCUAGCGCGCGUGCUGCCCUGGGCAGGAGCGCCCUUGAGCACCGCCGCCUCCUCCGCUUGAGGUCGUGCCAAGGAAGUGGGGAAGGGGCAGGAGGAUAACCCCCUGGAGGAGGCGCCGCUAGAACCAGAGACGCCAGGAGAGGAUAAGAGAGAGAGGGGAAAAACAGAGAAGAAGGAGGAAUGAAAUUCCCCAAGGACUGAUGCGUAAUUUCAGAAAACUGCAGGGACUUAUUUGUAAAACUAAAUUUCCCGUUGAUUUAAAAUCCAAAUGAAGAAAUGCCCAAAACGAAAGUUGGAGAGUUUUUCAAACUCUACAACAUUGCAUUAGGGCUCAAAUUCAAAAACUCAAAAUUUAUAUUUUUACACGUGAAUCUUUGAACAAAAGUCGGAUUUGAAUUGCUUUUAUCCUAAAAGUGUAAUUUAUAAAAUUUCAGGACCUAAAUGCAAUCAUUCAUGACACGUCAUAAUGACGGGAUAGACUCGUCAUAAUGGUUGGAUAGACAUGUCAUGAUGACUUGCACUUUUACACUUUAGUCCUAAGUAAAUUUGAAAGUUACUUUUGUAAAUCGAACAUUUGCAUAAAAGGAAUUGUAAUUUUAUAAAAUCACAUAAAUACCCUUAUUUUUACCACUUUACCCAAAAUUUUUACAUAUUUCAACACGCGCAUUUCCAAUGCAACUUUUGAGUAAAUAUAUAUAUAUUUUUACAAAACAUAAAGUAAGAAAAACAUAUUUACCAAAACCACCUUUCACUUAUUUUAAAAUUAUCCUUCUCCAAAUACAUUUUGCAAAAACAACCCUGGGUUUUCCUGUAAUUACAAAAAUACCCUUUUUACUUGCAUUUUAAAUUUUCAAAAGCUUCACACAAACACACAUGAGCUUUAUACUAACAAACACAUAGCUCACACUAACAAAAUAUAUUUCUAGCAUUACAAGUACACGAACUGUCACAGCCUUCCCCCCUAAAAAGAAUCUCGUCCCGAGAUUCGGACGAAAGACUCUUCAAGGGAAGAAAAGCAAAUCACACAUUAGAAGUGGCAGGGAGCAAUCACACUAGAGAUGAUUGAUGUUGAUGGUAAAAGUCAUUGGAGUAUGACAAGAUAAGUGUAACGGGAACAUAGAUAGAGUGUACAUGGAUAAGUUUAACAAGGAAAGAAAAAGAAAGGUGAUCCAGUUCUUAUGGAGCUACGAUCACAACAGGAGGACGAUAAAUGUCGGCGACAUUCAUCAUACAACUUAUGAAUAACAAGUGAGGAUUGUACGAAAGAUUGAUAAGUGAUAUUUGGAACAUUCUUGCUCAGAUUUUAUUAUCUGAAUGAUUUAGAUGAUAUUGAUUGCAAAAUAUGCCUAUUUAUACCAAUGCAAUCAAGGUAUAAUGAUAAAAUGCUUUAUCUUAGAGUGCAAUGCUCGAUAUAUAAUCAUGAACAUGAUGCACCAUUGUAAUGUAUGAUUGAAGUGAUGGUGCAACAUGAAGAUGGAGAAUUCCAUGCACGACCGAAAUGGUGCAUAUGACAUAAUGCAAUUAUCAUGAUGCUGACCAAAUGAUGCGUACAUUAUGAUGCAAGGAUGAUGAUACUUGCAAUGUAUGCACGUAUGAAAUGCAUGAAGCAUGAUGCAUACUGCUAACAUGAGUUGAUGAUGCACACGACUCACACCCUGCAACCGUCCUCUCGUAACUAACACUUGGGUAGUCCUAUAUCCUUAUACAAAGAUUAGAAGUUAGGACACUAGUAAGGUUGCAUAAGAAGAGAUUGCAGUGGGGUUACGUCACAUGUACUUAGUCACCAGUGCGCCCCUAAUGGCUCAAUCAUGUGACUGCAGUGCACAUGAGGCCUUAGGUUCCGACACGGCAUCAUGGUCAUGUGAUUAAACACCACCAUAAAAGAAGAAUAGCAACCUUAUAGUGCCAACAACAACAAGAUAGACUUAGGAAACUGAAGACAACCUAAAGUUGUACUAAAGCACACCCGUUAGUCAGUCUACGGAUUUCCGAUAAUGAUGCAACACCAUGCAUUAACCAAAAUGGUAUGUGUUAUGAUGCAUAGCUUUUGCCGGGAGGAUUGUAUUCAAAAAGUAAUUAUGGUUAUAUAUUUUUUUAAUUUAUCCAAAAUCAUCUGAGCAAAAAUUUGAAGGUACAACUUUCAGAUGUUGUAACCAGAAUAGCCAACGAUAUAAGGUACAACACCAAGAGAGGAUAGAUGGAUCACUAAUGAUGGAUUGAAGGGUUUGCUGAUGAUAGUUAUCAAGGUUCAAUCAUCAAAGGAGAAGCUUAAUGUUUCUGCCGAAACAGAUUUAAAGCAAAAUCAAGGAUUUGAUUCGGCUGUCAAGCUAAGAUUGGUGAUAGGGUUCAAGCUAGCAGAUUACGCUGGCUCCUACCACACAAAGUUAAAAUAGGCAUUCAGAUACAAGCACAUAUUUCAAAGCAAUCAGGUCAAUCCAAGAUGUCAUGAUGCAUGCACGUUCUACACGUUCUCACAAACAAAAAUAACUGCCAAGUAACCUUGGACUUACGUGGUUAAGUACGGUGGCAUCAUAUAGAUACGUCUCUCCCUAUAUAUAUACUAGUCGUUCUUACGUUCAAGCUUACGUAACGAGGUUAGCAUACCUGCAGAAAAUCACAAUAUAUAUAUAUUGAACCUUUCAUGCCAGCAUGUCAUGAAAGCGUCCCCAAACAUUACUGUUCACUAUAGAAACAGCAUCUGUACAAUUACCGCCGUACAGACAACGUUAACAUACGUUAUCGAGAUAACGUAUUCACGGGGGUACCGCAAAAUGCGGGGGUAUGAUCUGCGAUCGCCAUACCCUGCGCCGAACCAUAUACUCCCAAUGUCGUCAAUCGACAUUGGUACAUUGGCAGCAUCUCAAGUAGGCCACUGCUUGAGAAACAGCGUUCGGUUCGCAUCACCGACGGGAAGGCCAAGCUCCCUCAGUUGGCUGAGGAUCCUUACCUCCUUACCUCACGAUCGAAGGUGUCGUUACAGAAUGUAAGGUUGGGUUGUGCAUGAAUUUAAGUUUUGACAGAAAAUAAUGCUGGUAGUGAGGGUUAUAUAUAUAUACACACUAUAGCCACCUCUAUUUCCCUCAUAAGCAUUACCCUAGGGCUUUACGUACUAAGUACAAUCCUUAACGAAUCCAACGCAGUUUUGCCAAAUACUUUGUUGAUCAAACUUUUAUACUGAAAGCAUUUUUAAGGUAAAAUGUAUCUCCAGGGUAACCUUAUAGCUCUGAUACCAGCUGUGGCAGAACCAACCUGAAUUAUACCGGCUCAAGUACGCGAGUCCACUCCAGAGGGCUCCAACGUGCUUCAAACGGUAUAAUCCCUUGGCCUGUCGGGUAACGUCCCGAUAAACCACCGAUACACAGGAUCAAAUAAGGUUACCUCACACGAAGGUGAGUCCAGAGAUACAAUCACCAUUAUAUUUUACAUCACAGGGAAUCACUUUACAAGAGUUUCCAACAAUAGAGCAAGGUUUCAAAUUUAGAGAAAACAAUACAAACUGAUAAAGUUAGGGUUUUUAGCAGCGGAAAUCAUACGUGAUGACCUACAGCACGUCGUCAAGACGGAUGUCAUGCUAAGCCCAGGCACGACAUCACUCGAUAUCACCAGUGCUGGCCGAGGACGGAUCCCAUUCCACGGACCAUUCAUCUGGAAGAGCAUAGGGCCAAGGCAAGGGAAGAGUAGGGUCUUCACAGAUAUCACCUGAAAAACAUACAACUAGCAAGGCUGAGUAUACUAAUACUCAGCAAGGCUUACCCGGA